rnacentral:rRNA from 1 species
AUUGAACGCUGGCGGCAGGCCUAACACAUGCAAGUCGAACGAGUGGCGGACGGGUGAGUAAUGUCUGGAAAACUGCCCGAUGGAGGGGGAUAACUACUGGAAACGGUAGCUAAUACCGCAUACCAUCGGAUGUGCCCAGAUGGGAUUAGCGAGUGGGUGGGGUAACGGAUCACCUAGGCGACGAUCCCUAGCUGGUCUGAGAGGUUGACCAUCCACACGGGAACUGAGACACGUUCCAGACUCCGACGGGAGGAAGCAGUGGGGAAUAUUGCACAAUGGGCGCAAGCCUGACGCAGCCAUGCCGCGUGUGUGAAGAAGGCCUUCGGGUUGUAAAGUACUUUCAGCUGGGAAGCGUUACUCACACAAGAAGCACCGGCUAACUCCGUGCCAGCAGCCGCGGUAAUAC